GUGAAUCAUCGAAUCUUUGAACGCAGAUUGCACUCCCUGGUAUUCCGGGGAGUAUGCCUGUUUGAGGGUCGUUAGAAGAAAAAUCGAAGCAUCGCUCUUUUUUUUGAGGGUGGUCGCGGCGGAAUUUAACCGUCUUUCGGAUGUUAAUUCAUGUCAAAGUGGCUUAAAAUUUAUUCCUCCCGUACGAUUAAAGCGUAUUUAAAAUCAAUUUUGAUUAAGAAC
rnacentral:misc_RNA from 1 species